AAAACGACUCUCGGCAACGGAUAUCUCGGCUCUCGCAUCGAUGAAGAACGUAGCGAAAUGCGAUACUUGGUGUGAAUUGCAGAAUCCCGUGAACCAUCGAGUCUUUGAACGCAAGUUGCGCCCAAAGCCUUCGGGUUGAGGGCACGUYUGCCUGGGUGUCACGC
rnacentral:rRNA from 1 species